rnacentral:ncRNA from 1 species
AUGAAAUAGCGCCAGAACUCUAUGAGUUGACGAGGACUAAGAUUAUCGAAAAUUCGGCGGAUGUCUUAGAGGUAUGAUACUACCUAAGCGACAGGCAAAAACGGGAGGUGACUCCCCAACAGAU